UGUCAAGUACACCAAAAAUCAGGCACCCCCCAUUUGGAUCUUAAAAAAGGCUGAGCCUAUCUGGCUUCCCGUUAGCAGAGCUGGAUGAAGUUACGUACAUGGCUGGACUUUCGCCUGGAUAAGCAUAGCGGCCCACAAGGUUCGGUGGCCAUGGAUGAAGUAUAGGUUGUCCAGGGUCGGGACCCAGGGUGGACCACUCGUCUGUGCAUCUGUUGGGGACGUCUCUGCGCUUCUGACCUGUCUCCACUUGGGAUGGUCUCCUGUUGGCCCCACUAUGGACUGGACUCCCACUAUUAUGUUAGAUCCAUUAUGGACUAGACCAAGGGUCGGGAACCUUUUUGGCUGAGAGAGCCAUUUAAGCCAAAUAUAUUAAAAUGUAUUUACGUGAGAA